AGAGUUUGAUCAUGGCUCAGGACGAACGCUGGCGGCGUGCUUAACACAUGCAAGUCGAGCGAGGCCCUCCUUCGGGGGGUGCCCUAGCGGCGAACGGGUGAGUAACACGUGGGCAACCUGCCCUCAGCUCUGGGAUAACUCCAAGAAAUUGGUGCUAAUACCGGAUGUGACCGCUGACCGCAUGGUCUGGUGGUGGAAAGAUUCAUCGGCUGAGGAUGGGCCCGCGGCCUAUCAGCUUGUUGGUGGGGUAAUGGCCCACCAAGGCGACGACGGGUAGCCGGCCUGAGAGGGUGACCGGCCACACUGGGACUGAGACACGGCCCAGACUCCUACGGGAGGCAGCAGUGGGGAAUAUUGCGCAAUGGGCGAAAGCCUGACGCAGCGACGCCGCGUGAGGGAUGACGGCCUUCGGGUUGUAAACCUCUUUCAGUAGGGACGAAGCGCAAGUGACGGUACCUACAGAAGAAGCACCGGCCAACUACGUGCCAGCAGCCGCGGUAAUACGUAGGGUGCAAGCGUUGUCCGGAAUUAUUGGGCGUAAAGAGCUCGUAGGCGGUCUGUCACGUCGGCUGUGAAAACCCGAGGCUCAACCUCGGGCCUGCAGUCGAUACGGGCAAACUAGAGUACUGCAGGGGAGACUGGAAUUCCUGGUGUAGCGGUGAAAUGCGCAGAUAUCAGGAGGAACACCGGUGGCGAAGGCGGGUCUCUGGGCAGUAACUGACGCUGAGGAGCGAAAGCGUGGGGAGCGAACAGGAUUAGAUACCCUAGUAGUCC
rnacentral:rRNA from 1 species